AUUGAACGCUGGCGGCAGGCCUAACACAUGCAAGUCGAGCGGAUGACGGGAGCUUGCUCCUUGAUUCAGCGGCGGACGGGUGAGUAAUGCCUAGGGAUCUGCCUGGUAGUGGGGGACAACGUUUCGAAAGGAACGCUAAUACCGCAUACGUCCGACGGGAGAAAGCAGGGGACCUUCGGGCCUUGCGCUAUCAGAUGAGCCUAGGUCGGAUUAGCUAGUUGGUGGGGUAAUGGCUCACCAAGGCGACGAUCCGUAACUGGUCUGAGAGGAUGAUCAGUCACACUGGAACUGAGACACGGUCCAGACUCCUACGGGAGGCAGCAGUGGGGAAUAUUGGACAAUGGGCGAAAGCCUGAUCCAGCCAUGCCGCGUGUGUGAAGAAGGUCCUCGGAUUGUAAAGCACUUUAAGUUGGGAGGAAGGGCAGUAAGCUAAUACCUUGCUGUUUUGACGUUACCGACAGAAUAAGCACCGGCUAACCCUGUGCCAGCCGCCGCGGUAA
rnacentral:rRNA from 1 species